UUUUAUUUGCUUCAUUAAGACCAUUUCUUUUUCAAUUUCAACCAUCCAACAACAGAUCUUGAUUUAAACUUCUCCAACCUCCAUUUUUUUUUUGGCUAAAAGAUUGACGUCAUACUCUUUCUGAUUCUUAGCGUCGGGACUGUGAAGAUCUUCUCUGAAAUAGGAAACCAAAAGCACAGAAGAGGCGGAAUGAGGGAGGGAUGGCCAUAUUACUGUGUCUUCUCCAGGAUCGGCGGUACGGGAAGAGGGGAGGGAGUUGGCUUUGCUACUGCUAUCUACUGGGAGAGAG
rnacentral:lncRNA from 1 species